AAAUUAUCUCUAUGUAUUUACGUUAAUAUUAUUAAUGUCAAAUUAAAAUUAUAAGGUAACAAUAUAAGAAGGCAAUGGGAAUCAGGUGUGGUCCAUGCGAUUAAUAAUACGGAGUUUCCUAUCUUAAAAAGUCUCCUCCUAUUUUUUCGUCCAUCUUUAAUGAAUAUAAAAUAAGUCGAAGUCAUUCGCUUGAUCGCUUGAUUGAUGAGGGAAUUGCCAAAUUCUUCUCUAAUAUCGCUCAAGCAUUGAAGAGCUGGAUGUAUUGUAUAGCCUCGAAUAUUUAAAUAUAGAGAGUAAAAAUAAA